rnacentral:rRNA from 1 species
GUAGGUGGCAAGCGUUGUCCGGAAUUAUUGGGCGUAAAGCGCGCGCAGGCGGUUCUUUAAGUCUGAUGUGAAAGCCCACGGCUCAACCGUGGAGGGUCAUUGGAAACUGGGAGAACUUGAGUACAGAAGAGGAAAGCGGAAUUCCACGUGUAGCGGUGAAAUGCGUAGAGAUGUGGAGGAACACCAGUGGCGAAGGCGGCUUUCUGGUCUGUAACUGACGCUGAGGCGCGAAAGCGUGGGGAGCAAACAGGGAUUAGAUACCCUGGUAGUCCACGCCGUAAACGAUGAGUGCUAAGUGUUAGGGGGUUUCCGCCCCCUUAGUGCUGCAGCUAACGCAUUAAGCACUCCGCCUGGGGAUACGGCCGCAAGGCUG